GACGAACGCUGGCGGCGUGCUUAACACAUGCAAGUCGAACGGAAAGGCCCUGCUUUUGUGGGGUGCUCGAGUGGCGAACGGGUGAGUAACACGUGAGUAACCUGCCCUUGACUUUGGGAUAACUUCAGGAAACUGGGGCUAAUACCGGAUAGGAGCUCCUGCCGCAUGGUGGGGGUUUGAAAGUUUCGGCGGUUGGGGAUGGACUCGCGGCUUAUCAGCUUGUUGGUGGGGUAGUGGCUUACCAAGGCUUUGACGGGUAGCCGGCCUGAGAGGGUGACCGGCCACAUUGGGACAGAGAUACGGGCCGGAGUCCUACGGGAGGCAGCAGUGGGGAAUAUUGCAUGAUGGGCGGAAGCCUGAUGCAGCAACGCCGCGUGCGGGAUGACGGCCUUCGGGUUGUAAACCGCUUUCGCCUGUGACGAAGCGUGAGUGACGGUAAUGGGUAAAGAAGCACCGGCUAACUACGUG
rnacentral:rRNA from 1 species